rnacentral:rRNA from 1 species
CAAUAGCGUAUAUUAAAGUUGUUGCAGUUAAAAAGCUCGUAGUUGGAUUUGUGGCGUACGGUGUGUUCCGGGCACUUGUUGUCUGAGUAACCUGCUGUUGCCAUCCUUGGGUGGAACCUGUGUGGCAUUAGGUUGUCGUGCAGGGGAUGCCCAUCAUUUACUGUGAAAAAAUUAGAGUGUUCAAAGCAGGCUUAUGCCGUUGAAUAUAUUAGCAUGGAAUAAUGAGAUAGGACUUUUUUGCUAUUUUGUUGGUUUGCGCAAGAAGGUAAUGAUUAAUAGGGACAGUUGGGGGUAUUCGUAUUCCAUUGUCAGAGGUGAAAUUCUUGGAUUUUUGGAAGACGAACUACUGCGAAAGCGUCUACCAAGGAUGUUUUCAUUAA